rnacentral:tmRNA from 1 species
GGGGGCGUACUGGAUUUCGACGGGGGAUGAAUUGGCAAAAGUAGCGAGCCGGGGUUCCAUCAGCCCGUAAAACGUUGGAAAUAUAAUUUAAACGCCAACGAAAAUUACGCUUUAGCAGCCUAAUUGCUGCUAACAUCCUCACCUCGCUUUCCCGCGGUAAGGAUUGAGGGUGUCAUAUUAGCGGGAUACUCUAAUACCAAUUCUCGGAGGGGUUAGGGGAAUUUUAUCGAGAUAGUUUCCUGAGCAGGCUGUUUGUGG